rnacentral:rRNA from 1 species
AUUGAACGCUGGCGGCAGGCCUAACACAUGCAAGUCGAACGAGUGGCGGACGGGUGAGUAAUGUCUGGGAAACUGCCUGAUGGCGGGGGAUAACUACUGGACACGGUAGCUAAUACCGCAUACCAUCGGAUGUGCCCAGAUGGGAUUAGCUAGUAGGUGGGGUAAAGGCUCACCUAGGCGACGAUCCCUAGCUGGUCUGAGAGGAUGACAAGCCAAACGGGAACGGAGACACGUUCCAGGCUCCAACGGGAGGCAGCAGUGGGGAAUAUUGCACAAGGGGCUCAAGCCUGAUGCAGCCAUGCCGCGUGUAUGAAGAAGGCCUUCGGGUUGUAAAGUACUUUCAGCGGGGAGGCGUUACCCGCAGAAGAAGCACCGGCUAACUCCGUGCCAGCCGCCGCGGUAAUAC